rnacentral:tRNA from 1 species
GCCAGCGUAGCUCAACGGUAGAGCACGGCUUUUGUAAAGCCGAUGUUGCGGGUUCGAAUCCCUCCGCUGGCU